UACGUAGGGCGCAAGCGUUAUCCGGAAUUAUUGGGCGUAAAGAGCUCGUAGGCGGUUUGUCGCGUCUGCCGUGAAAGUCCGGGGCUCAACCCCGGAUCUGCGGUGGGUACGGGCAGACUAGAGUGAUGUAGGGGAGACUGGAAUUCCUGGUGUAGCGGUGAAAUGCGCAGAUAUCAGGAGGAACACCGAUGGCGAAGGCAGGUCUCUGGGCAUUAACUGACGCUGAGGAGCGAAAGCAUGGGGAGCAAACAGG
rnacentral:rRNA from 1 species